AUUGAACGCUGGCGGCAGGCCUAACACAUGCAAGUCGAACGAGUGGCGGAAGGGUGCGUAAUGUCUGGGAAACUGCCUGCUGGUGGGGGAUAACUACUGGAAACGGUAGCUAAUACCGCCUACCAUCGGAUGUGCCCCUAUGGGAUUAGCUAGUAGGUGGGGUAAAGGGUCACCUCGGCGACGAGGCCUAGCUGGUCUGAGAGGAUGACCAGCCACACUGGAACUGAGACACUGUCCAGACGCCUACGUGAGGCAGCAGGGGGGAAUAUUGCACAAUUGGCGCAAGCCUGAUGCAGCCAUGCCGCGUGUAUGAAGAAGGCCUUCGGGUUGUAAAGUACUUUCAGCGGGGAGGCGUUACCCGCAGAAGAAGCACCGGCUAACUCCGUGCCAGCCGCCGCGGUAAUUC
rnacentral:rRNA from 1 species